rnacentral:rRNA from 1 species
AUUGAACGCUGGCGGCAGGCCUAACACAUGCAAGUCGAACGAGUGGCGGACGGGUGUGUAAUGUCUGGGAAAUUGCCUGAUGGAGGGGGUUAACUACUGGAAACGGUAGCUAAUACCGCAUACCAUCAGAUGUGCCCAGAUGGGGAUAGCUAGUUGGUGGGGUAUCGGCUCACCAAGGCGACGAUCCCUAGCUGGUCUUAGAGGAUGAACGGUCACACUGGAACUGAGACACGGUCCAGACUCCUACGGGAGGCAGCAGUGGGGAAUAUUGCACAAUGGGCGCAAGCCUGAUGCAGCCAUGCCGCGUGUAUGAAGAAGGCCUUCGGGUUGUAAAGUACUUUCAGCGGGGAGGCGUUACCCGCAGAAGAAGCACCGGCUAACUCCGUGCCAGCAGCCGCGGUAAUAC